ensembl:ncRNA C48D1.10 ncRNA
GCGGAGCAAGAAGAAGAAGAAGCACACGACUUUUCGAAGCGGAAAGAGUGAAAAGCCCUGACUGACGGAAAUGUCGAGAUAAUCGUCAAUCAAGGCGCGCGAGAAGAAGAAUGGAGCCGUGGUGAAGGCUCUAAUUUCAGA